ACGCUCGACACCUACGGGAGGCAGCAGUGGGGAAUAUUGCACAAUGGGGGAAACCCGUGAUGCAGCGACGCCGCGUGGAGGAAGAAGGUCUUCGGAUUGUAAACUCCUGUUGUUGGGGAAAAGAAGGAUGGUACCCAACAAGGAAGUGACGGCUAACUACGUGCUAGCAGCCGCGGUAAUCUGAGCGGGCUGGCAAGGC
rnacentral:rRNA from 1 species